AUUGAACGCUGGCGGCAUGCCUUACACAUGCAAGUCGAACGGUAACAGGUCUUCGGAUGCUGACGAGUGGCGAACGGGUGAGUAAUACAUCGGAACGUGCCUAGUAGUGGGGGAUAACUACUCGAAAGAGUGGCUAAUACCGCAUGAGAUCUACGGAUGAAAACAGGGGAACGCACGACCUUGUGCUACUAGAGCGGCCGAUGGCAGAUUAGGUAGUUGGUGGGAUAAAGGCUUACCAAGCCGACGAUCUGUAGCUGGUCUGAGAGGACGAUCAGCCACACUGGGACUGAGACACGGCCCAGACUCCUACGGGAGGCAGCAGUGGGGAAUUUUGGACAAUGGGCGCAAGCCUGAUCCAGCAAUGCCGCGUGCAGGAUGAAGGCCUUCGGGUUGUAAACUGCUUUUGUACGGAACGAAAAGCCCUGGGUUAAUACCCUGGGGUCAUGACGGUACCGUAAGAAUAAGCACCGGCUAACUACGUGCCAGCAGCCGCGGUAACAC
rnacentral:rRNA from 1 species